CGGGGUGUAGCGUAGUUUGGUAGCGCGCAGCGUUCGGGACGCUGAGGUCGCAGGUUCAAAUCCUGUCGCCCCGA
rnacentral:tRNA from 2 species